UUAAUCAGUUAUUUUGUAAGUGAAUUUUAGUCUCUUUUUCGAAAGGUUGAGGCAACCACGCUCGUGCAACGACAAGAUGGAGUCUUCUGUCUUUAUUUUUUCUUCUGUCUCUAUUUUAUUGCUAUAUUUUUUACUUAUGCAUAAUUUACUCAUAAAACCUUAUUAUUUUCCAAGACGUCCUUUCUUAGUGCCUAGGACAGUUAGAAUUUCUUUUGUGGCCAAAAAAGGUUACAUCCAACAAAAAUGAGUGAAGUGGUAUGGGACAAAAAAACUCUCCAAAAGCGUCUAAGGAUAGCUAUAUUAUGGUUAAGUGCUGUGCUCAUUGACCUUAAAAAAGCUUUUGACACUGUUGAUCAUAAAAUUUUGUUAAAAAAACUAUGGUGUUUUGGCAUCAGAGAUGCUGCCUUUGGUUCGAGUCCUACUUAAAGGGCCGAAUGCAGCUGACUCUUGUAAACGACACAGGAUCAGAUCUGCUUCAUGAAGAUGCUUUUGGGGUGCCGCAGGGAUCUGUGUUGGGGUCCCUGCUCUUUCUUUUGUAUAUUGAUGACUUAAAAUCUGUCAUCAAUUCAAACUACCACCAUCUAUAUGCAGAUGAUACAAUAAUUAUUUCGUCUCAUAAAAACUUGUCUCCCAGGUCGAGUUAGAACUUUCGCAAGUCGACCUCUGGCUGAAUAAUAACAAAAUGACUAUUAAUACAGACAAAACUGAAACAAUCUUUUUCGGCAACCACAGCCAGUUAAAAAAAGUUGAGAACAAAACUAUCAACUAUAUGGGUAUUCCUUUGAAGAGGAGCGAAAAAGUUAAAUAUCUUGGGGUAACAUUUGAUCAAAAAAUGCAAUGGGAAAAGCACAUUAAUGACAUAAAUAGAAAAAUACUAAUUAAAUAUUCUAAAAUUAGAACAAUUGCAUCCUGUUUAACACCUCACACAAAAAACCUUUUAAUUAAUGCACUUGUCAUGCCAUAUUUCAACUACUGCUCCUCGGCAUGGGCUUGUGCCACCCAAGGUAGAUUGGGAAAACUAGAAAACCGAUUAAAAUGUGUCCGUACCUUUCUUGGGAAAGAGAGGGAAUAUUCAAUGAAUAAUUUACUCAUCAAAAACGAUGCCAUAUUAGUUUUCAAAGCCAUGAAUCACAUUGCUCCUGAUUACAUGCGCUCAAAAUUCCUUUUGACAAAAAACUGUCAUAAUCAUCAAACAAGAGGAGCUUCAAAAAACAGGUUCACACUUCCCUUGGUCAACACGGAAUUUGGCAAAAAAGCCUUCCCAUUUAGAGCUGCAAAAGUGUGGAAUAAUCUUCCAGACCAAGUGACCUGUGAUGGAAGUGUGCUUUCGUUUAAGACUUCCAUCUCUAAUGUAUUUGGCAAAUUCUAAUGGAGAUCACUUUUUAACUUUUUAAUUUUUGUUUUUUAUUCUUUUUCUUUUCAAUUUUCACAGAUUAUAAAUGUUACUAUGUUUGAUUGAGCUGAGGCAGUCUAAGGUUUAUCAUUUUUUGUUUCUUUUUUGUUCUAGUGGCCCCCAGUGGAAACAAUCCACUAACUAUAGGUUUUUGUGAUUUUCUGGGCUAGCCACUUUAAAUAUUUAUUAUUAUUAUUAUUAUUAUUAUUAUUAUUAUUAUUAUUAUUAUUAUUAUUAUUAUAAUGCAUAAGACAGAUGUGCAUAUUUUACAUAUGGCUAUCCUGGCAAAUACUGAGUUAAUUGUUAUGGUUCUGAAGCAACAACACAAAAGCAAACAACAACAAUGACAUAAUGUUAGAAGUAUAUUUCCCUUGUUUCAUGUCAUAACUACGCCCGAGUUUGGGGAAAGUGGGGGAUGUCAGGUUUGGUAUCAGGGGGGCCAAACCAGAUAGGUGUGUUUCCAUCCUUACCCUUAGUAAGACGUAUCUCAUGAAAAUGUCCGCGUAUCUCCUGGAAAUGCUAACUUUCCUGGGGUGUAACUCUCGUGGAAACACCUGCAUAUCUCGUGGAAACGCAAUCCUCUCAGCGAAUCUCGUGGAACGCAACCCUCUCAGCGAAUCUCGUGGAAAUGCCUACAUCUCAGCAAAUCUCGUGGAAAUGCCUACAUCUCUGCAACUCGCUUGGAAAUUGCUUACAUUUCAGCGAAUCUCGUGGAAUCGCCCACACCUCAGCAAAUCUCAUGGAAAUGCCUGUUAACAGUGCUUCUACCUCUGGACAAAAAACUUGACAAUCGCAAGUAGCCAAAUUUGGAUCACCAAGAAAACCUUGAAGCAAGAGCACUGGUGUAAGCAAGCACGCAUCUUUGAUGCCAAUUAAUCCCUUCAUCUUGCGUUGUAGAUUGUUGCAUGUUAUAUUUUGAGUAUCGUUGCGAGUUCUAGUUCAUUGUAGAAGAAACUCGGGGGGCUACAUCAAUUGGUAUCGUAUGCACUUGUCAUGUGUCGCAUGAUGGUCGAUUAUCAAGUUAACAUAUGGGUUGUGGUUGAUUGCAGGAUUAGUUAAUAUGGUGACAGUUGUGGACAAUAAUGCCAGUGAAGUGAUUGAUUUACAUAAAAGAAAAAUAUAUAUUAAAAGACUGAGUGGGUGGGCAAACGAAACUAUUAGCAAUAUGUGAUGAUGAAAACUAGUUGACUUUAGCUGCUCCCAUUUUAUAGGUAGGAAAGGCAAUCUCAGGGGCCUGGAUCUACAACAGUAUUGGUUAGUUACCUUACCUUACCACUUUAAAUAUUUAUUAUUAAUAUUAUUAUUAUUGUUGUUGUUGUUAUUGUUAUUAUUAUAAGGGCCCCUAGUGUUCAUGCCCUGUGACCGCCCUUUUCACUAGUCUACCAUUCUAGAUUUGGAAGAACAUUGGGUUUCUAAAGUAUAUCCUUCAAUCAUGCUAGUAGCCAUCGUUGUUGACACUUGAAUGCUGAAUGCAAUUAAAGCCAAGCCUCUCAACAAGGUAUAAGUACUUACUUCAGGAACGGCAAUUAACCUGUGGUGAACUGUUGGUCCACCACCAUGAAUAACACCAUGUCUAUUAUUUCAUCCCCAGGAGGUACCAUGGUUUAUUAAUGGAGUCACAGAGUAUGUUAUAUGCUCAUGUAUGUGUUGAGCAGACCUAAGUAGGACAUGUUACAAAUACCUGUUACAAAUACCUGCACACAUACACAAGUGGUUAAUAUUCCCCAAAGAAUAGGCAUUUCUAUGGUUGUUUUUCCUUUACUGAAAAUAGGGUUUUGAGCGCGAAAUUUAAUAAGAAACACAUGCAAAGCACAUGUAAACAAAACGACGAUGUAAACAAACUUGGGGGUGAAGCACGUCCAAAUAAAACGUUUGUAAUUUAUUGCAUCAACUCCAUUCAUAAUAUUCUCUGUGGAUGCGGGGGAAUUAACAAAACCAAGAGAUACAGUGGCUAUACUCCCACACCACAAGUGAACAAAGGGGCAGCCAACGGAUGUAAAGGGGUGGGUAAAUGAAGAACUCAUUUACUGUACACUCAACAGUGCACAGCAACAACCUAAAAGUGAAUACUCCAACAGGUACAUCCUGCUCUUCCAGAGUCUUGUCAACACUGACUGAAAAAAGGGUGUGUGCAUGUGAAGUAUACCAACUCCCUAAGGGAGGUAUCACCUAUGAAUUAUCUCGCAGGCAUAUAUUAAUGCAUGUACAUACACAUACAUUACAAUGAAAAGACACCUGUGUGUGCACUCCACCUUGGAGGAGACUCAAUGGUAGAGGUCACACCCACAGAUCAAAAACAACACAAUAUGGUGGACUGAACAGUAAACAAUACACAAGAUACAGCACACACAACAAUGGUGCAAUAAAUAUGGCACCAGCAUUCUCCACAGCUUCUAGUUGUUUAAGUUUUAUUGAAAAGGUGAAUUGGUUCAGAGCUUUCGAGACAGCUUUUGAAACAUCUGAAGUGUUUGCCAUGUUGAAAUGAAAUAAAUUAGAAGCACGAUUCAAAAAAUCGGUCUUACCAUAAUAAAAUAAUUGUGCUAUAGCAUAUACGCUUAUCUUAGUUCAAAGGACCAUGGAUCAACAUAUUUAUUUUCAGUUAUUGUGAAAUUGCUCUGUAAAAAAUCAACCAAUCACAACGAUGUAGUCAGAAUUUGACUGCAGGUCCGCCCUGUCUCUCUUCUUUGUUAGAGCGUACUAAAAAAAGCAGGGUAGAAAAAGUGGGACAACAACAGCAGGUUGGUUGGUUGUGUGCAUAUCUUAAUGUUGGUAAAAUUGGGAAAGAAUGAAGACUGUGUUACAAAGUUGAUCACAAAUAUUGCAUCAGUAAUACAAUUGCAUUAUAUUUGCGUCUGUGGCUUUAAACAAGAAGAAGCGAGUUUUGAUCUUCAUAAGCAAAGAAAAUGUCUG